rnacentral:rRNA from 1 species
AUUGAACGCUGGCGGCAUGCUUUACACAUGCAAGUCGAACGGCAGCGGGGAGGAGCUUGCUUCUCUGCCGGCGAGUGGCGAACGGGUGAGUAAUACAUCGGAACGUGUCGAGAAGAGGGGGAUAACCACCCGAAAGGGUGGCUAAUACCGCAUAAAUUCUGAGGAAGAAAGCUGGGGACCUAGGAAUAGGCCUAGCGCUUUUUGAGCGGCCGAUGUCGGAUUAGCUAGUUGGUGAGGUAAAGGCUCACCAAGGCGAAGAUCUGUAGCGGGUCUGAGAGGAUGAUCCGCCACACUGGGACUGAGACACGGCCCAGACUCCUACGGGAGGCAGCAGUGGGGAAUUUUGGACAAUGGGGGCAACCCUGAUCCAGCCAUGCCGCGUGUAUGAAGAAGGCCUUAGGAUUGUAAAGUACUUUUGUUAGGGAAGAAAAGUCAGCUGUGAAUAAUGGCUGAUACUGACGGUACCUAAAGAAUAAGCACCGGCUAACUACGUG